UUCCGGUUGAUCCUGCCGGACCCGACUGCUAUCAGAGUGGGAUUAAGCCAUGCGAGUUAACGUAGCAAUACGUGGCAUACGGCUCAGUAACACGUAGUCAACAUGCCCAGGGGACGUGGAUAACCUCGGGAAACUGAGGAUAAACCGCGAUAGGCCAAGAUUUCUGGAAUGAAUCAUGGUUUAAAUCUAUAUGGCCCCUGGAUUGGACCGCGGCCGAUCAGGCUGUUGGUGAGGUAAUGGCCCACCAAACCUGUAACCGGUACGGGCUCUGAGAGGAGGAGCCCGGAGAUGGGCACUUAGACAAGGGCCCAGGCCCUAUGGGGCGCAGCAGGCGCGAAACCUCUGCAAUAAGCGAAAGCUUGACAGGGUUACUCUGAGUGACUUCCGCUAAGGAAGUCUUUUGGCACCUCUAAAAAUGGUGCAGAAUAAGGGGUGGGCAAGUCUGGUGUCAGCCGCCGCGGUAAUACCAGCACCCCGAGUGGUCGGGACGAUUAUUGGGCCUAAAGCAUCCGUAGCCGGUCCUGCAAGUCCUCCGUUAAAUCCACCCGCUCAACGGUUGGGCCGCGGGGGAUACUACAGGGCUAGGAGGCGGGAGAGGCAAGCGGUACUCGAUGGGUAGGGGUAAAAUCCACUGAUCCAUUGAAGACCACCAGUGGCGAAGGCGGCUUGCCAGAACGCGCUCGACGGUGAGGGAUGAAAGCUGGGGGAGCAAACCGGAUUAGAUACCCGGGUAGUCCCAGCUGUAAACGAUGCAGACUCGGUGAUGGGCCGGCUUUAUGCCGGCUCAGUGCCGCAGGGAAGCCGUUAAGUCUGCCGCCUGGGGAGUACGGUCGCAAGACUGAAACUUAAAGGAAUUGGCGGGGGAGCACCACGAGGGGUGAAGCCUGCGGUUCAAUUGGAUUCAACGCCGGG
rnacentral:rRNA from 1 species